rnacentral:rRNA from 1 species
AGUGAACGCUGGCGGCGUGCUUAACACAUGCAAGUCGAACGAGAACGGGUUAUAGCUUGCUAUAAUUGUCAGCUAAGUGGCGCACGGGUGAGUAAUGUAUAGGUAAUAUGCCUCUUACUAAGGGAUAACAAAUGGAAACGUUUGCUAAUACCUUAUACUCCUUAUUAACAGAAGUUAAUAAGGGAAAGAUUUAUUGGUAAGAGAUUAGCCUGUAUUGUAUCAGUUAGUUGGUGGGGUAAUGGCUUACCAAGACUAUGACACAUAACUGGUUUGAGAGAAUGAUCAGUCACACUGGAACUGAGACACGGUCCAGACUACUACGGGAGGCAGCAGUGGGGAAUAUUGCACAAUGGACGAAAGUCUGAUGCAGCAACGCCGCGUGGAGGAUGACACAUUUCGGUGCGUAAACUCCUUUUAUAUGAGAAGAUAAUGACGGUAUUAUAUGAAUAAGCACCGGCUAACUCCGUGCCAGCCGCCGCGGUAA